GAGAAUUUUUCACAAUGGGCGAAAGCCUGAUGGAGCGACGCCGCGUGGGGGAUGAAUGGCUUCGGCCCGUAAACCCCUGUCAUUCGCGAGCAAACGUUAUUAUUUAAAAGAUGAUAGCCUGAUAGUAGCGAAAGAGGAAGGGACGGCUAACUCUGUGCCAGCAGCCGCGGUAAUACAGAGGUCCCAAGCGUUGUUCGGAUUUACUGGGCGUAAAGGGUGCGUAGGUGGUGGGGUAAGUCGGAUGUGAAAUCUCCGAGCUCAACUCGGAAAGUGCAUUGGAAACUACCCUGCUCGAGGGUUGGAGGGGGGACUGGAAUACUUGGUGUAGCAGUGAAAUGCGUAGAUAUCAAGUGGAACACCAGUGGCGAAGGCGAGUCCCUGGACAACUCCUGACACUGAGGCACGAAAGCUAGGGGAGCAAACAG
rnacentral:rRNA from 1 species